AACGAACGCUGGCGGCAGGCCUAACACAUGCAAGUCGAGCGCCCCGCAAGGGGAGCGGCGGACGGGUGAGUAACGCGUGGGAACGUGCCCUUUGCUACGGAAUAGCCCCGGGAAACUGGGAGUAAUACCGUAUAAGCCCUACGGGGGAAAGAUUUGUCGGCAGAGGAUUGGCCCGCGUUGGAUUAGGUAGCUGGUGGGGUAAUGGCCUACCAAGCCGACGAUCCACAGCUGGUUUGAGAGGAUGAUCAGCCACACUGGGACUGAGACACGGCCCAGACUCCUACGGGAGACAGCCGUGAGGAAGUUUAGAAAAUGGGCGCAAUCCUGGUCUAGCUAGGCCGGGUGUGCGAUGAAGGCCUUAGGGUUGUAAAGCUCCUUCGUGGGGGAAGAUAAGGACUGUACCCCAAGAAGAAUCCCCGGCUAAGUCCGUGCCAGCCGCCGCAGUAACAC
rnacentral:rRNA from 1 species